rnacentral:misc_RNA from 1 species
UUUCCGUAGGUGAACCUGCGGAAGGAUCAUUAACACGUACCCACACGUACAAACUCCACUCUUGGGCGUACUAAAUUGAAAACCCCAAUCUUUAUGGAUUGUAGGUAGAUUUUACCAUCUACUUUCCAAUUCAUCUAGAUUGCAUUUUAUAAAUAAUAACCCAACAUUCUCAAUUGGACUAACAAACAUGUGCAUAACCAUUCGAGAGUGGCCUCACGGCUGCUCGAGAAAGGAUAUCUCAAAAAACUAAAACGAUGAACAACUUUUAGCAACGGAUAUCUUGGUUCUC